rnacentral:tRNA from 1 species
UUUAGUAUAGUUUAAUUAAAGCAUUGGUUUUGUAAAUCAAAGAUGGUUACUAUCUACUAAUA